UACGAAGGGGGCUAGCGUUGUUCGGAUUUACUGGGCGUAAAGCGCACGUAGGCGGAUCGUUAAGUCGGGGGUGAAAUCCUGGAACUCAACUCCAGAACUGCCUUCGAUACUGGCGAUCUUGAGUCCGGAAGAGGUGAGUGGAACUCCUAGUGUAGAGGUGGAAUUCGUAGAUAUUCGCAAGAACACCAGUGGCGAAGGCGGCAUCCUGGACCAACACUGACACUGAGGAGCGAAAGCCAGGGGAGCAAACGGG
rnacentral:rRNA from 1 species